UACGUAGGGUGCGAGCGUUUGUCCGGAUUCAUUGGGCGUAAAGAGCUCGUAGGCGGUUUUGUUGCGUCGGCUGUGAAAUCCCGAGGCUCAACCUCGGGUCUGCAGUCGAUACGAGCAAACUAGAGUGUUGCAGGGGAGACUGGAAUUCCUGGUGUAGCGGUGAAAUGCGCAGAUAUCAGGAGGAACACCGGUGGCGAAGGCGGGUCUCUGGGCAACAACUGACGCUGGAGGAGCGAAAUGCGUGGGGAGC
rnacentral:rRNA from 1 species